rnacentral:piRNA from 1 species
UAUGUCAAGCUGCAUUACUGUGU